rnacentral:rRNA from 1 species
AUAAAUUCUUUUUUCAUUUUUUCAAUCAAUGAUCUGAAGUCAAGUGGGAUUACCCGCUGAACUUCC